UGGGGAAUAUUGGACAAUGGGCGAAAGCCUGAUCCAGCCAUGCCGCGUGUGUGAAGAAGGUCUUCGGAUUGUAAAGCACUUUAAGUUGGGAGGAAGGGCAGUUACCUAAUACGUGAUUGUUUUGACGUUACCGACAGAAUAAGCACCGGCUAACUCUGUGCCAGCAGCCGCGGUAAUACAGAGGGUGCAAGCGUUAAUCGGAAUUACUGGGCGUAAAGCGCGCGUAGGUGGUUAGUUAAGUUGGAUGUGAAAUCCCCGGGCUCAACCUGGGAACUGCAUUCAAAACUGACAAGCUAGAGUAUGGUAGAGGGUGGUGGAAUUUCCUGUGUAGCGGUGAAAUGCGUAGAUAUAGGAAGGAACACCAGUGGCGAAGGCGACCACCUGGACUGAUACUGACACUGAGGUGCGAAAGCGUGGGGAGCAAACAGGAUUAGAUACCCCGGUAGUCCCUGAGCGGGCUGGCAAGGCGCAU
rnacentral:rRNA from 1 species